GUACUUAAUGGAGAGGAACAGGAAGAGACCAAAAGCCCUUCUGCUCAUUUUUUAAUUGCUGUGGGUGGAACUUAUUUGGAUUUGGAUUUAAAUAAACUAAAAAGCUUUCUGUUCAAAAUCAGGAGUUUGAGAUAAAUAAAGAUGGAAUCCCGAAAGUGGAUCAGUUUCAUUUGGAUGAUAAAGUCAAAUCCCUCCUCUGUAGCUUGAUAUAUUAUAGAAGUUCAAUGACAGCUGAACAAGUUUUAAAUGCUGAAUGUUUCUUGAUACCAAAGGAGAAAUCAGUUCCAAACCCAGGAAAAAGAUACUGAAUAUACCCCAUAUAAAAAGGAAGAAGAAAUAAAGAUGGAGAACUUGGAUAAAUGUAUGGAGAAGACAAGAAAUAGUGAAGCCAACUUUGAUUGUUAAAUUAUUAUUCUGUUAUUGUUGCAGAUGUUCUUUUUAAAAACUUUGUUUAGUUUGGUUGAUACACAGAAAUAUCUAGAAAUGUUCUGGGACUAGUUGGGUUGUAUCUUUAGUAUUCAGGUUGUGAAAAAUAAAGAUGUUUGGCUAUGCACAAAAUA